rnacentral:rRNA from 1 species
UACGUAGGGUGCAAGCGUUGUCCGGAAUUACUGGGCGUAAAGCGCGCGCAGGCGGUCCUUUAAGUCUGAUGUGAAAGCCCACGGCUCAACCGUGGAGGGUCAUUGGAAACUGGGGGACUUGAGUGCAGAAGAGGAAAGCGGAAUUCCACGUGUAGCGGUGAAAUGCGUAGAGAUGUGGAGGAACACCAGUGGCGAAGGCGGCUUUCUGGUCUGUAACUGACGCUGAGGCGCGAAAGCGUGGGGAGCAAACAGG